rnacentral:lncRNA from 1 species
GCGUCUUUCCCGGCCCGCCCGGUGCAUUGUGGGCUGACGUCUUGGGGUUUGACUGUCUAGUGACGGUGGCUGCCGCGAGCCGGGCGGACUCGGGCGCUCCCAGCCUCUGUGGAAGUGGGUUGAAGUUUAGGGCUCGGACCGGAAUGCCAGGGAUGCUAGGACCCAGGGGGCCGGGGGAACCGAACCAGGUGUCUGGGGCUGAGGGCGCGGGGCGGGUGGUAUUUCCCCACUUGGGGGCUCCAUGUCACCCGCGGGCACUUCGCCACCGCGCGGGGCGGGCCGGGCCGGUUGAACGCCCGGGCCCCUGGCCCCCUCCCGCACUUCCGGGGGGCGGGAGCACCGCCCUUAAGGUGGCUCUGUUAAGUCCCCUGUGGGGGCGAGUGAAAGUGGUUUUGGGGGCAGUUCGUGCGAGUCGGCCCCCCACGUUGAGAAUGCCCUGAAGUUUGUCUCCUGGUCAAGUUCAAUAGCGACUGUCUGGCUAUGUCUGGAAGCCAGUGAUUUGCAUUGCUUGAAACUGGGUGUUCGGCUAAGUCCCCUCGGCACCCCCACCUCACCCUCCCGACCGUGGGAGAAAGGGUGCGGGCGUUCGCAUCUUUGCCUCGGAAAGGUUUCUUACAGGAGGUGGAUUUAGGGGGCAACUCGCGUCUAGUUGUGAACGAGCGUUUAGGGAAUCCGAAACUCGGGGAACCCUGGUGAUAGUCUACUCCCCGCCCCCGCACAACAUGCAUAGACACACUGCACAUCACAUGUACACACAAACACACACACGCACACGCCACUCCUCCCGCCCCGAUUUGCUUCCGGGAAAACAAGUCCGAGAGCAGCAGACACUUGCCAAAAGUCACGCAGCGAAUUCCUAUCAGAACCGCUUUUACUGCCUCCCCCGGCGACGUUCCCGGCCCGCCAACGUUUCUUUCGUCCUUACAAGGCCAGCUUCCACCCGCUGCUUUUGUGUAAAUAAAGCCUGGCCUUCUGCCUGCAGGUUGCCGCCAGAAGCCGGCCGGUGGGGGAAGGGUUCGGAACCGGUACGACCGCCUCAGCCGCGCCGGGAGAGGCCGAGAGUCCGCCAAGCUCAGCCGUCGCGCGGGGGCGGUACUCCGGGCCCCCCAGGAUGAGCCGAGCCGAGAAACCCAGCACGAGAAAGUCCCCACCCACCUGCACCCUCUUCCGUGGGUCACCCCGCGCGUGGCAGGCCCUUGACAAAUAUCGUCCUGAAUUCUCCCCGCGAUCCUGGGAGUAUCCUCCCCAUUUUAUAGACGAGAGACUGAGGCUUACCAAGUGUAAGGGGCUUGACCGAGGUCCCAUAGGCGAAAAAAGUGGCAAACCAAGAACUUCUAACCGAAUAUAUCUGGCUGCAAAAUCCAGUCUUCUCCCAUCCCACCGGUCACCAGUGAGACUGUAAAGGUCUUAAAGGAGAAGAAUAAAAAAAAAAUAACCACACGAAUCA